rnacentral:misc_RNA from 1 species
AGUUAAACAGUACGUGAAAUUGUUGAAAGGGAAACGAUUGAAGCCAGUCGUACCUUCGGGUAAUCAGCCUUUCGGGUGCGAUUAUGUGGAGUGUGAGGAGCUUAAACACCUUCAUGUUUUGCAUAUUCGUACUCUUGGGUGUACUUGCCCGUGUGGUUGGUUAACAUCAAUUUUGGUGGUCAUAAAAUGACUGGAGGAAUGUAGCUUCGAUCUCGUAUUGAAGUGUUAUAGCCUUCGGUAGAUGUGAUGAUCGAGAUUGAGGAUUGCAACGGAUACCCUUCGGGGCUACCUGUCUGAUCUCUGAUCGUUGCUCUGGUGCCGAAAGCUUGCUUACGGUUAUCAAAGUCGAUGGUCAAUAGGUUAGAACGGGUUAAAUUCGUUAAGGAUGUUGACGUAAUGGCUUUAAA